UCUAACCUGUCUUUUGCUAAGAUUUUACAGGCUCCAGUGGAGUUAUUAAUGCAGUUCCUGGACAGACUGCAAGCUGCGCCUUCCCAGCGGGUCGACAGCAUUGAGGCCGGAGUUAUUGUGUUGCAGCUGCUUGCUUUUACAAACGCAGACAAAGAUUGUAGAAAACACUGCUCGCUGUUCAUAACCCACAUAGUUGUGACAUAGCAGAUAUGGUUAGAGCAUGCCAAAAUGUGGGAACUACUGCUUAUAACACCAAUUCUCUGGCAGAGGCUUUCCAGCGCUGGGUUUCCGCGCACUUCCGCAUCUGGACACGCAGGUGGGGGGCUGUUUUAGAUGUGGUUCCAUGGGCCAUUUUAAAAAGGAUUGCCCUCAACAAGGGGAUGGGAUAAAAAUACCAUCUAAAGAUUGUCCCAGGUGUGGAAGAGAAAACACGGGGCUGUUGACUGCCGCUGCCAGUACCCUGUGAUUUGGAAAGCAACAUAGCCAGGAAACUUCCAACUGGGGGCCGGUCUGUCUGUGCCCUGGAGAAUCACAAAAAAUGUGAGACAAGACUUUUAGCAAGCGAGCUCCUGCCUACAACCGCAGGCAGUGGCAGGCUGGAUCUUGCCUCCAGAGAAUCCAUAACUCUAAUGACAUCUUUGGUACAUUUGGCUCCUACUGGAGUCUGGGGACCCCUUGGUAAUAACACUCAUGCUUUGUUAAUAGGGCGUUCCUCUGCCACCAGGUUGGGACUUUUUGUACAGCCCGGAGUUAUUGAUUCAGAUUAUGAGGGCAAAAUGCAGAUUAUACUAUGGACCCCCAUGCCACCCUGCUUUACACCUGCAGGUCAACAUAGAGCACAACUUAUCCCGUCUCCAACAAAACCCCUAGUGGCAAGGGAAAACAUGCCACAGAUAACUUUGGCAGCACAGGUCACCCCAGAUUUUCCGGACAAGCUCUAUUACAACAGCUCAGCCAACUUUAACAUGCACUAUGUUGGAUGCAAAAAAAUUAAAGGGCUUGAUCAUAGUGGAGCUGAUGUCAAUAUCAUAAAAAUGAAUGGGCUAGUAAUUGGCCCACAAUCAGCUGUGCAUCAACCCUAAUUGGGGUGGGAGGGAUGCAGCACCCUAGACAGAGCGCUCACCUUUGGCUUGUCCUUGGCCUUGAUUCAAAUCGAGUUUUCCCCCUUGUGUUUCCCCACUGCAACUUCAGUGGUACUUCACCUUCUCCAUGCAGUUUCCAAGAGGAUUCAUGCAAUAAUUAAUUCUGUGUGUGAGCUGGAGCACUGGCACACAGCAGAGGGAUAAUUUAGGAUUUCAGCAAAGUCAUUUCUUCUGAGAAGAGGCAAGUCCAUGCUGCUCUCUUGGCUUUAAUCCUGAGAAAGUUGCAGGUUUCCACUGGGUCAUCCUCUACACUCCCUUGGCAGUCAAACAGCAGCAUACAGUGAAGUCCAAGGAAGUCCCAGAAAGCUGGGAUCAGAUGAUUCCUACCCAGGCAGACAUGUGCCUCAGGGAUUUGGGAUGCACCUCCUGCAAACUGCUGGCCCUGGGACCAGAACUGUCACCUCUCUUCCUGCUGACAUCCUGUUUGUGUCCCCAGCUAUGGAAUUUCACAUCCCCUCACCAGCCCAGUCCUUACAAGGGCAAACACUUCAUGAUCCAGGAGCUAAUGGGGCACCUGAAGAGGUGGGGAGGGACUUGGGACAAGGGUAUGGAGUGACAGGACAAGGGGGAAUGGCUUCCCACUGACAGAGGGUGGGGUCAGAUUGGAUAUUAGGGAAAAAUCCUUCCCUGUGAGGGUGGUGAGGCCCUGGCACAGGUUGCCCAGAGGGGUGGGGUCAGCUAAAAACAAACACAAGAGCUCCCAUGUCUGAGGCAGAGGGAGAUGAGCUCUAAUGAAGGGCUGGAAAGAGGAUCACAGCAGCCCAAAACCUGGUCCCUAAUAGCUUUCAUUGCAUCAUUAAGGGGAUUGGCAGUAAUUUGGGUGGGCUCUAAGUGCUGAUGACCUGGCUGCAAGCAACUGAAUGCUGUCCUUCCCUUGGGCUGUGUCAGCCUGCACUGGACUGACAGAAAUAGAAUUCUCAGCUCAGUUUGUUUUCUUGGGGCCAGGGAAGGUUUUGGCAAUGAUCCAGGAUCUCAGCCCAGAAUGAGAGUUGUUUCUGAGAAUCACUCAGAUGCUUGAGCAGUGCUGUGAGCACUCCCAGCACUGCUGGCAUUCCAGUGCCACCAGCAGCACCAGCAGCUCUCUGCUGCUGGAGGGACAGUGAGCCCUCAGGGUAGAUAAAGGAGGAAUGGUAGAAAUCUGCUCAGAGAGGGAAAGCAUUUGGAGAAUGUCCCACUUGGAAGAGUGUUUCUAAUCAGGAGGAAAUGAGGAACCAUUCAAAGAAAUUUGCAUGUUGAGCUACUUCCUCUAUGGCAGAAAAAAAAAGUCAAGACAAAUAACUCAGAGGAAGGGAAAUUCUGACGUAGCCAAAGAUUAAAUUUCUGACUCUCCCGCCAAGCCUUGCGAAACAACAGAGGGACAGGGCACGGAGAGAGCCAGCAGGACAGGAAUGGGGAGCUCCUGGUGAUCUGGGCACUUUCUCCUUCAUGGCACUGACCUGGCAGGAGCCGCUUUAGGACAUGGAUCCCAAAGGAGCAAGAGGCACCAGGAAGCGCCGCUGAUCUGCACAGACCCCUUUGCCUGCUGCUGCCCCACAGGGAACAGGGAGCUGCUGAGGAGCCGCAUGGUCCAUCCCUGGAUUCUCCAAGCACUGACUGCCCAUCCACUGUGACCACAGCCAGGGGCCACAUCCCACUGCCUGCCCAGCAUCCAUCCAUGGAGGAGCCGCUUUAGGACAUGGAUCCCAAAGGAGCAAGAGGCACCAGGAAGCGCCGCUGAUCUGCACAGACCCCUUUGCCUGCUGCUGCCCCACAGGGAACAGGGAGCUGCUGAGGAGCCGCAUGGUCCAUCCCUGGAUUCUCCAAGCACUGACUGCCCAUCCACUGUGACCACAGCCAGGGCCACAUCCCACUGCCUGCCCAGCAUCCAUCCAUGGAGUGACCAAUGACUCCUCAUCUCCCAUCUCACCCACUGAAGGAGACAAUCUGUGUGAGACAGAUGUCACCACGGUGCCCAUCCACAGUGUGACACUGCUCAUCUGCCUCUGUGGGCUGGCUGGGAACGGGGCUGUCAUCUGGGUC